rnacentral:rRNA from 1 species
AUUGAACGCUGGCGGCAUGCCUUACACAUGCAAGUCGAACGGCAGCAUGAUCUAGCUUGCUAGAUUGAUGGCGAGUGGCGAACGGGUGAGUAAUACAUCGGAACGUGCCCUGUAGUGGGGGAUAACUAGUCGAAAGAUUAGCUAAUACCGCAUACGACCUGAGGGUGAAAGUGGGGGACCGCAAGGCCUCAUGCUAUAGGAGCGGCCGAUGUCUGAUUAGCUAGUUGGUGAGGUAAAGGCUCACCAAGGCGACGAUCAGUAGCUGGUCUGAGAGGACGAUCAGCCAACCUGGGACUGAGAAACGGCCCAGCCUCCUACGGGAGGCAGCAGUGGGGAAUUUUGGAAAAUGGGCGAAAGCCUGAUCCAGCAAUGCCGCGUGUGUGAAGAAGGCCUUCGGGUUGUAAAGCACUUUUGUCCGGAAAGAAAUGGCUCUGGUUAAUACCUGGGGUCGAUGACGGUACCGGAAGAAUAAGGACCGGCUAACUACGG